rnacentral:lncRNA from 1 species
ACACCUGCAGAUGUUUGACCGGGGAAUGGUCUGGAACACGGACCUGGUGGAGACCCUGGAGCUGCAGAACCUGAUGCUGUGUGUGCUGGAGACCAUCAAUGGAGCAGAGGCGCGGAAGGAGUCAUGGGGCGCGUACGCCAGGGAAGAAUACAAGGUGUGGAUUAAUGAGUACGAUCACUCCAAGCCCAUCCAGGGGCAGCAGAAGAAGCCCUUUGAGGAGCACUGGAGGAAGCACACCCUGUCCUAUGUGGACGUCAGCACUGGGAAGGUUGCCUGUUCACUCUGGCUAGUCAUAUGCAGAAAACUGAAACUAGACCCCUUCCUGACACCUUAUAUAAAAAUUAACUCAAGAUGGAUUAAAGAUUUAAACGUAAGACCCAAAACCAGAAAAAUCCUAGAAGAAAACCUAGGCAAUACCAUUCAGGACAUAAGCAUGGGCAAAGACUUCAUGACUAAAACACCAAAAGCAAUGGCAGCAAAAGCCAAAAUUGACAAAAGGUUUCCUUAACGACAACAAAAAAGGGAGUAAUCCUACCUACUGUAAGAGUCAUGACUCUUGAUUGCAGCUGACAGAAGCUCAUGACAGCCUGGUUUAGAUAAAAGGGGAAAGGACGACUGGAAGAAUCUUGGAGUUGGGAAUAUGGCACAUAAUUGAAGGAAGAGCAAUAAAACUAUAAUUCUUCCCGUGGAGACUGGAGUUUCCAGGAUGUGAAAAUUACCUCUGCUUGGGUGAGCUAUUCCAAGCAGCUGGGAUACCUGUGUCACUCCUGCUGUCUGCCAGUGACUGCCCAGGUGUCCGCUGGUUCCUCCCCAGGAGUAGGGAGGAACCAGGUGGGCUGGCUGGGAUGGGUGGAUAUUUAAAGACCAGGCCUUGGACGCUGCAGCACUUGUAUCUCUGCUUGAGGCCUGCUGCCAUGUGGCUGGUCCUCCUCCUCCUGCCGUGACUGAGCCCCGGGAUGAAGACAGGCAGCUGCUCCCAACCCCAGCAACUUUGCUAUCUUAGAACGGAUCACCAGUGAAAGAGGGGAAGUUGCUACUGUGAUGAAUUCUGCCAUGUGGUACCAGACUGCUGCCCAGACCACAGUGUCCUCUGCAACCCUGCUUCUCAGAUGACCAAGAUGGUGCUGCCGAUGGUGUUGAGGACGGAGAACCCACCAAGCCC